rnacentral:miRNA from 1 species
UAAGGAGGGGGAUGAGGGGCCCUCAUCCUUCCCCUCCUUUC